CGUGGCGACAGGGGCGGGACGAACCGGAGACGGACAUGGCGGGGGCGGGGCCCGCGCGCAGACAAGAUGGCGCUGCGUCUGCUGAGGAGGGCGGCGCGCGGAGCGGCGGCAGCGGCGCUGCCGAGGCUGAAAGCAUCUCUGGCAGCUGAUGUGUCCAGGCUUGGGUACAGUUCCUCACCCAAUCACAAAUACAUUCCGCGAAGGGCCGUGCUCUAUGUUCCUGGAAAUGAUGAAAAGAAGAUUAAGAAGAUUCCCUCUCUGAAUGUGGAUUGUGCAGUACUCGACUGUGAGGAUGGUGUGGCUGUGAACAAAAAGGAUGAAGCUCGAUUGAGAAUAGUAAAAACUCUUGAAGACUUUGAUCUGGGCCCAACUGAAAAGUGUGUACGAAUCAACUCAGUGUCCAGUGGUCUGGCCGAAGAAGACCUGCAGGCCCUCCUGCGGUCCCGGGUCCUUCCUUCCAGCCUGAUGCUCCCGAAGGUAGAAGAUCCUGAAGAAAUCCAGUGGUUUUCAGACAAAUUUUCAUUCUACUUACAAGGCCGAAAACUUGAACAACCUAUGAAUUUAAUCCCUUUUGUGGAAACUGCAAUGGGUUUGCUCAAUUUUAAGGCAGUGUGUGAAGAAGCACUAAAGAACGGGCCUCAAGUGGGUCUUUUUCUAGAUGCAGUCGUUUUUGGAGGAGAAGACUUUCGUGCCAGCAUAGGUGCAACAAGUAGUAAGGAAACCCAAGAUAUUCUCUACGCCCGACAAAAGAUUAUUGUUGUAGCAAAGGCCUUUGGUCUGCAGGCCAUAGACCUGGUGUACAUCGACUUCCAGGAUGGAGAGGGGCUUCUCAAGCAGUCGAGAGAAGGAGCUGCAAUGGGAUUUACUGGUAAGCAGGUGAUACACCCUAACCAAAUUGCAGUGGUCCAGGAGCAGUUUUCUCCUUCCCCUGAAAAACUUAAGUGGGCUGAAGAACUGAUUGCUGCCUUUAAAGAACAUCAACAGUUAGGAAAGGUCAGUCCCUGUGUCCUACUGGAGGCUCAGCAAGUGUUGGCCAACUGACCAGGGAGUAUUACCAGACCAGGGAAAGAUCAAGUGGCACAGAAAGACACUUGCAGAUAAAGGAGAGCAGAAAGGGAGCCUUUACUUUCCGAGGGAGUGUGAUCGACAUGCCAUUACUGAAGCAGGCCCAGAACAUUGUUAGGCUUGCCAUCUCCAUCAAGGAAAAAUGAUCUGCUAAAUGAAGCUCUCAUCAGGUGGGCUGAGCAUAUACAGUGGGUUCCUUAAAGACAAGCCAUAAUACUCAAGGCAACUUGUUAGUAUGCCAGAUGGGAGCCUUUCUUCAUUUACAGUUCAUGUUAAUCACAUUUUUUUUUUUUUUGGUUAUCUCACUGGCCAGUUAUUCCUCUAAAAAUGAACUUUCUUCUUUUUGAUUCCAAGCUUAUGAUUUUAUUGUUCACGAAUGUGUUACAAGUACAGACUUAUGAUUUCACAGGGAGAUAAAAUAGUGGAGAGAGAUGGGCUGCUCCAGGAGAAGUUUGGUCUUUAAUGAAACAGAUCUUUCCCAAAUACGUAUACUCCCUUCACCCUGCUCAUGUUAGAUGUUUCCCACAUUGUGCAUUGUUCACUCGACACCAGAAAUAGUUUUAAGAAAGGCCAACCUUUUAAAAAAUAAUAACUCAAUGAAGCGUUGGUGUUUAUUUCACUAGUAAUCUGAUAAAACAACAGAGAUGGCAUAGAAAAGUUGAUUAAGUACCAUACUGGUUUAUAUAGAUAUCUUCUAAAAAUAAAUCUUCAAAACUGAUUACUUUAACCUCCACCACCCCACCACCCCCAAAAAUGAAAUAUCCCUAUCCUUGAACUGCUAGGUGAUCACUGUGAAAGCCCUCAUCCUGGGUGAAUGCUUUGGGUCAACAGUUACCAGCAAUUAAAAAAUAAAUGUGCAGAAGCACAA